rnacentral:rRNA from 1 species
UCAGGACGAACGCUGGCGGCGUGCUUAACACAUGCAAGUCGAGCGGUAAGGCUCCUUCGGGAGUACACGAGCGGCGAACGGGUGAGUAACACGUGAGCAAUCUGCCCUUCACACUGGGAUACCCCCCGGAAACGGGUGCUAAUACCGGAUACAACCACUUCAGGCAUCUGACGGUGGUGGAAAGUUCUGGCGGUGAAGGAUGAGCUCGCGGCCUAUCAGCUUGUUGGUGAGGUAAUGGCCCACCAAGGCUUCGACGGGUAGCCGGCCUGAGAGGGUGACCGGCCACACUGGGACUGAGACACGGCCCAGACUCCUACGGGAGGCAGCAGUGGGGAAUAUUGGACAAUGGGCGAAAGCCUGAUCCAGCAACGCCGCGUGAGGGAUGACGGCCUUCGGGUUGUAAACCUCUUUCAGCAGGGACGAAGCGAAAGUGACGGUACCUGCAGAAGAAGCACCGGCCAACUACGUGCCAGCAGCCGCGGUAAUACGUAGGGUGCGAGCGUUGUCCGGAAUUAUUGGGCGUAAAGGGCUCGUAGGCGGUUUGUCGCGUCGGGAGUGAAAACUCAGGGCUCAACCCUGAGCCUGCUUCCGAUACGGGCAGACUAGAGGUAUGCAGGGGAGAACGGAAUUCCUGGUGUAGCGGUGAAAUGC